AACGAACGCUGGCGGCAUGCCUAACACACGCAAGUCGAACGAGACCUUCGGGUCUAGUGGCGCACGGGUGCGUAACGCGUGGGAAUCUGCCCUUGGGUUCGGAAUAACAGUUAGAAAUGACUGCUAAUACCGGAUAAUGUCUUCGGACCAAAGAUUUAUCGCCCAGGGAUGAGCCCGCGUAGGAUUAGCUAGUUGGUGAGGUAAAGGCUCACCAAGGCGACGAUCCUUAGCUGGUCUGAGAGGAUGAUCAGCCACACUGGGACUGAGACACGGCCCAGACUCCUACGGGAGGCAGCAGGUGGGAAUAUUGGACAAUGGGCGAAAGCCUGAUCCAGCAAUGCCGCGUGAGUGAUGAAGGCCUUAGGGUUGUAAAGCUCUUUUACCCGGGAUGAUAAUGACAGUACCGGGAGAAUAAGCCCCGGCUAACUCCGUGCCAGCAGCCGCGGUAAU
rnacentral:rRNA from 1 species